UACUGUGGUGUUUGUCUUCACUCGAGCCUGCGGUGGAAAAAAAAAAAGUGAUGCUUCGAGGCUGGCAGUACCUCUGCAGACCCACCAGAUGGCGACUGUGGGAAGGAUGCCGAGCAGGACGAGAGAGGAAAAACUCCGUCAGGAAGGGUCAGGGCUUCAUGUAUGGAGGACCCGUCCGGAACGAUGCGCAUGCGAGGAGGUACUUCUCUGCUGCAAAGGGUUUUUGGGCCUCGGAUAUAAAAAAAAGAAAUCCGCGUUAGUAGCAGCCACCGGGUGCAUGACCUACUGUGGUGUUUGUCUUCACAAGAGCCUGCGGUGGAAAAAAAAAAAAAAAAAGUGAUGCUUCGAGGCUGGCAGUACCUCUGCAGACCCACCAGAUGGCGACUGUGGGAAGGAUGCCGAGCAGGACAAGAGAGGAAAAACUCCGUCAGGAUGGGUCAGGGCUUCCUGUAUGGAGGACCCGUCCGGAACAAUGCGCAUUCGAGGAGGCCCGAACGGAGACAUCUCCUGGAGGCCAAUGAAUCACAGACCUUGACACCAGGGAGACAGACUAAAUUACAUAUAUGUGUAAAAAAGGGUCUAUGCGUCAAUGCAUGUUUUCUUGGUUAUGUGUGUGUAUAUAUAAAUAUAUAUAUAUAUAUAUAAACCCUGAGACUCAUACGUGCUUGCGCGGCAAAACGGCAACACAGGAGUUAUUUAGACAGCCAGGGUUUUAAACAUCAUUUGUACAAUGUUUAAAAUUUUGUAUACAUUGUAGAAGUGCUUCCUACGGGUUGCCGUGAUUUCCUUGCCCCGUCUAGGACCUACUGUGGUGUUUGUCUUCACAAGAGCCUGCGGUGGAAAAAAAAAAAAAAAAGUGAUGCUUCGAGGCUGGCAGUACCUCUGCAGACCCACCAGAUGGCGACUGUGGGAAGGAUGCCGAGCAGGACAAGAGAGGAAAAACUCCGUCAGGAGGGGUCACGGCUUCCUGUAUGGAGGACCCGUCCGGAACAAUGCGCAUGCGAGGAGGUACUUCUCUGCUGCAAAGGGUUUUUGGGUUUUC